GAGAGAGAGAGAGAGAGAGAGAGAAAGAGAGAGAUAUCGAAUAAAGUUCCAUGCGAAAUCAUACAAAGUAAACUAAUAUAUCAAAGGAAAGUCAAAGUUAGCUUUAGCAAUUAAUCAUCAUCGACUUGUGGUGUGAAUAUCGUCAUCCUUAACGUCAAUAAUUUUACAAUUAGAAACGUAUUAGACACAACGAUUAAUCCAUUCUUCGAUCGUAUCAAUCGUAUCAAAGCUAAUUACGGAGAUAAUUAUCAUCAGAAUUAAAGAGUAUUCAGUAUAAUCGAUUUCAUCGUAGUAUUAUCACCAUCAUGGUCGUCCCUAUAUUUCGUGCUCUAUCGGACAACGACUGUGUUACUCGUGUAUGCUCGACAUUAAUAUUUAAGUAGCUUGGACGAGGCGGUAAACCCGUGACAAACCCUAAUUAGCGGCAACCCUUGGGAAAGGGUGAACUCAAGCGCCCAUUCUAAUUCAGUCGUCCCUCGUCCAACUUGUUUAUGUAUGCUUCUGUGUGUAUAAAUAUAUAUAUAUAUAUAUAUAUAUAUAUGU